rnacentral:lncRNA from 1 species
GGUCGUUCCAUUGCAUGCCACAAGCCAAAAAUAGAGCGUGCCGGCUACCCAAUGAAAGGGGAUGACCCAGUUGGGUCCUCGUAUUUUGUUCCAACCCAGUUUUUCAUACAUUUAAGAUUCGAAACUUAUCAGAAUACUACCAAAUAUUUUUAAAUGAAUUUAAAUCAAUUUGACACUUCCAAAAGGCUUCAAAAAUGAUUUCAACUUGCAGAAACAUUAACUUUGGCAUAUUUGAUGGAGCUUUUCAAAUUCAAUAUUUUGAACUACCUGAA